rnacentral:ribozyme from 15 species
CAUUGACAAAAGUAGUUAAAACGAAAAGAAAUAGGAAAAAUGCAAAGAAAAAGUCUUUGUGAUUUUGCUUCCUCAUUGUUGCUCCUUUUUCAUUUUCUUCUUUCCGUUCCCGCACUCUGGCUGGCAUCUGUCAAAACAAA